rnacentral:rRNA from 1 species
UAUAGACAUUUGAUAGAAAAUGGGAUCAAGUACCCACAUUUGUAUAUGUGGAAGAUUAAGAUGCCACCUAGAGUGAAAGUCUUUAUGUGGCCGACUCUUAGGAACUGCAUUCUUACUAAAGAUAAUUUGUUCCGUCGGGGGUGGAGAGGAGAUGAGAAAUGCCCAUUCUAUGGACGUGAGGAAAAUAUAAAUCAUGUGUUCAUAUCUUGUUCGGUAACUAGGUUGUUGUGGAAUAUUCUUAAAUGUGCUUUCAAUUUAACUGAUAUACCAGACGACUUAGAUCUGGUGAUGAGAAUUUGGGCUAAGACUUUUGGAAAGGAAGAGAGGGGCUUAGUUUUGAUAGGAAUUUCGGCUAUAUGUUGGACUAUUUGA